rnacentral:lncRNA from 1 species
CUCUCUCACUCUCCCUCUCGACCCUCUACCAAUCUACCCCCAAAUUCUAAUCUAACACUUUUAUUUUUCAUUUACCCAUCUCUUUCCCUGACUCUCUCUCUCUCUCUCUCCCCUCAAAUUGUUUCUCUCUGUCCUCUGUUCUCCUAAUCUCUUUUCUCAGAAUUUUCCUAAAACUCAUUGCCGGCUCUCACUAGCUCUCAUCCUCCCAAUCUCUUUUCUUUUGAUUUUUCAAAUUUAUGUUGAUUAUGGUGGAUCCUAACUCAAUAUCAUGAAAUUGCUUCGAAUUCUGUUGAUUGCAUGUUGGUCGAUUGAAGGAUUUUAGGACAAUCAUCACUCACUCUAUUGUGCUUGAAAUUAGAGGUAUGUUUAUAUACUCAUUAAUUCCUAUUAAUUAGAUGUAUAUUCAUCCAUUUUGAAUGUCGACUUUAUCAAAUCCAAAGGAACAAGGAGCAAAAGAGGCUUGAUUUUUGUUGGGCAUUUUGCUGCAAUCAUUAUUAGCUUGUACCCCUUUACCAUUUUGAUCAUCAAAAUUCCAUAGCCACCCCGAUAAACCAUCCAUGAGAAUAUUGGUGUCCGACCAUGAAUCCGCUUCUUGAUAUAGCAACUGGCAAUUAUGGAUUUUCCAUUAUUAGAUGUAGCGGUACCGCUGGAAUUUCUUGCUGGGUUUGUAUUUGGGGAGAGAAAAGGGAUUAUGGGCAAUCGAAUAUGUUAAUAAGUUAGUUAAUUAACAUAAUAACAUUUAUAUGGUUGAGUCAGACUGUAGAGAAAAAUGAUGAAGCAACAAAUGACAAUACCACCAAAUCUUUAAGGUGUUCUUUACCGAAAGAAAUUAUAAAAGAAAAAGAAAACCAAGUCUUUGAGGUGUGUAGGCUUCUGAACAACGAACAGCUUUAUCUAAUUUUCCUUUCUUGUCUUUUCUUUUCUUUUUUUUUUCACAGAGCAGCUUUGAUUCCGAACGGUGCACGAAUUUUAUUGUUUUGGCUUCAUGUAGUUAAGUCAUUAGUGAACUUCUUUAAGAAAAUACAGCGGCAAUCUUUGUUUUUGGUACGAUAUAUAUAGUGGCAAUCAUUGGUAUGGAUCUUAGAUUUCUUGUCUGGGAAUCUUAUGUCCCGCAAAGUUAACAAUAUGUGUUAGUUUCAGGAUAAUAUAUAAUCUAGAAUAGUAUCUUAUUUACAUGAUUAAUGUUGGUUAUGCUUUCAGCUACUCCUCUUAAUCUCACUUCAAGUGAGUUAAUUAUUCUUGAUUAGGUAUAUAGUUUUACUCAAAUGGGAGCCUUUCAAUCUUUUCUUGCAAUGUUUCAAGGAAUGGGCUUUUAGGUUCAGAACAGAGCUCAUGUUGAUAGAGGCAAGUUGCUCUAUGUGAUGAAAUCAGAGAGAAUUUGAGAUGAAAAUGAGGAUUCAAAGUGUUGAAAGUUUGGUGCUCUGAUAUGUGUUUUCUUCUCUUUUUUUUUAAAAAAAAAAAGAUACAUGAUAUAAUUUAAACAAAUAAAACAUUUUGAAACUAGCAUCCAAAUACAUAAGAUAUAAUUUAGAAACUUUAUAUCCGAAUGUAAGUUCUUAAGACUGGGUGAAUAAUUAUCUAAGACCAGAAUUUGUUUGUCCCAGAACAUAUAGUCUAAGUUUCAACAAAAUAAUACUCUACUAUAAACUUAUCCCUUUUCAUAAUUGGUUCUUUUUCAUGAGCCUUCAUAUAACAAGCCCUGUCAAUUAGGGAGUCAUUAUUGUUUAAAAAAAUCAAUAUCUAUUUGACUAUUUGUCUAGAUUGGACUUUCUUUCUUCAGUCCUUGUUUUCUGUUUCUCCCAGUUCAAUAAUUUGCAUUUACUAUAUUAUACUGAAGUUGCAUUUGGUGCCCUUAUUAGUGACGACAAAAGUGAGAGUUAACACAUCAUCUUUCAAUCAUCAAAAGUCAAAACAAGUCCGGUUCAAUUUGCUACGAAUAACCAAAUACUAAUUUGGAAACAUCCAGCUCCCUCCAUGGCUUCCUCCACCUCUAACUCUAUAUAUAUAUAGCUGCUUGGGAUCUUCUUUCUCCCAAUCAUUUCUAGCAGUAGCAGUUGCAACUUCAGAGGAAAAGUUUAUAUUUGCUUUUACUUUAUUUUGGACAGAUUUAUAUUUGCUGGUAAGUAUUUGACGGUGGAAAAGUGUUAGACUUUGGUAUUCUUGAGCAGGUACAUUACUUUAUUGGACUGGUUUUAUACGUUCACAU